GUAGGCUUGAGAGGUGCUAUACUGCAGUCGAGCGGACAGAUGGGAGCUUGCUCCCUGAUGUUAGCGGCGGACGGGUGAGUAACACGUGGGUAACCUGCCUGUAAGACUGGGAUAACUCCGGGAAACCGGGGCUAAUACCGGAUGCUUGUUUGAACCGCAUGGUUCAAACAUAAAAGGUGGCUUCGGCUACCACUUACAGAUGGACCCGCGGCGCAUUAGCUAGUUGGUGAGGUAAUGGCUCACCAAGGCGACGAUGCGUAGCCGACCUGAGAGGGUGAUCGGCCACACUGGGACUGAGACACGGCCCAAACUCCUACGGGAGGCAGCAGUAGGGAAUCUUCCGCAAUGGACGAAAGUCUGACGGAGCACCGCCGCGUGAGUGAUGAAGGUUUUCGGAUCGUAAAGCUCUGUUGUUAGGGAAGAACAAGUACCGUUCGAAUAGGGCGGUACCUUGACGGUCCCUAACCAGAAAGCCACGGCUAACUACGUGCCAGCAGCCGCGGUAAUACGUAGGUGGCAAGCGUUGUCCGGAAUUAUUGGGCGUAGAGGGCUCGCAGGCGGUUUCUUAAGUCUGAUGUGAAAGCCCCCGGCUCACCCGGGGAGGGUCAUUGGAAACUGGGGAACUUGAGUGCAGAAGAGGAGAGUGGAAUUCCACGUGUAGCGGUGAAAUGCGUAGAGAUGUGGAGGAACACCAGUGGCGAAGGCGACUCUCUGGUCUGUAACUGACGCUGAGGAGCGAAAGCGUGGGGAGCGAACAGGAUUAGAUACCCUGGUAGUCCACGCCGUAACGAUGAGUGCUAAGUGUUAGGGGUUUCCGCCCCUUAGUGCUGCAGCUAACGCAUUAAGCACUCCGCCUGGGGAGUACGGUCGCAAGACUGAAACUCAAGGAAUUGACGGGGGCCCGCACAAGCGGUGGAGCAUGUGUUUAAUUCGAAGCACGCGAGACCUUACCAGGUCUUGACAUCUCUGACAUCUAGAGAUAGGACGUCCCUUCGGGGGC
rnacentral:rRNA from 1 species